rnacentral:tRNA from 10 species
GUGGGGAUGUAGCUCAGUGGUAGAGCGCAUGCUUUGCAUGUAUGAGGUCCCGGGUUCGAUCCCCGGCAUCUCCAAUAGGUAUUAAGGUUUUAGCGCUGAUUCUUGUUCAACGUACGUGCUGCUGAGCAAAUCUUCCGCUCACUGUUAUUGCCAAGGUCUCUCAGGCCCUGGAGCCUUUUCUGGAAAGUGGGAGGGGUAAGAAAGGAGGUUAGGC